UACAGAGGUCUCAAGCGCUGUUCGGAAUCACUGGGCGUAAAGGGUGCGUAGGCGGCGGAGUAAGUCGGAUGUGAAAUUUGGAGGCUCAACCUCCAACUUGCAUCUGAUACUGCUUCGCUAGAGACCUGGAGAGGAGUUUGGAAUUCUCGGUGUAGCAGUGAAAUGCGUAGAUUUCGAGAAGAACGCUCGCAGCGAAAGCGAAACUCUGGACAGCGUCUGACGCUGAGGCACGAAGGCUAGGGGAGCAAACGGG
rnacentral:rRNA from 1 species